GCUCCCGCGGCCCCGGGUAGCAUCAUGGCUACCCGAUGGAGGCCUCGAACUUAGGUCCGCGGUCUGGGCCGGGCUGCUGUUCCAGGGUCUGUCUGACCAAAAGGAGGCGAAGUCCAGAAAGCUUCUCUUGAGUGACUGUCUCAUCUGAGAAAACUGGGCUUACCAUCCCAUCCAGACCUCCAAGAGCAAGGGAGGAAGGCUGGACUUUGUGAGCGCCAAAGAAUUGAUGCUUUUGAACUGUGGUGUUGGAGAAGACUCUUGAGAGUCCCUUGGACUGCAAGGAGAUCCAACCAGUCCAUUCUGAAGGAGAUCAGCCCUGGGAUUUCUUUGGAAGGAAUGAUGCUAAAGCUGAAGCUCCAGUACUUUGGCCACCUCAUGUGAAGAGUUGACUCAUUGGAAAAGACUCUGAUGCUGGGAGGGAUUGGGGGCAGGAGGAGAAGGGGUCAACAGAGGCUGGAUGGCAUCACUGACUCGAUGGACGUGAGUCUGAGUGAACUAGGUCUGGCGUGCUGCGAUUCAUGGGGUCGCAAAGAGUCAGACACGACUGAGCGACUGAACUGGACUGGACUGGACUGGACUUUGUAAACCGCAAGUUGAUCAGCACUUAAAAAUCUUCCCUUGCCUUCCUAGUACCUUCCGCAUAACCCAAACCCUCCCCUAGGACAUCUGAGGCUUCAGCACUUGCUCCCAGGAGCCUCAUCUUUCCCCACCUGCUGUCUCUCACCUUCCCUUCCUGGUGUGCCGGACCCCCUGGAGCCCAGCGUUCUCUUUCACUUUACCCAUCAGCAGCGCAGACUAGACCCUUCAGCACUCAACCAGGCAACAGCUGGUCCGGAAGGCCAGCCCAAGGCAGCCAAGCAACACUGGGACCCUUACACAUCAUACAGGACUGACUUGGGUGUGCCAGCCUCCCCUGAUCAGACGUCUUGAGGGCACGGAACUGUGCUUACCCAUUUCUGAAAACCUAGUGCCCUCCAGAGUGGUGGUUGUAUCCACUAGAGAAGCUGUGAGCAAGAUGACAAUGGAGAAUUUUUGCAGUGUCUCAUGUGCCGGGCACAACAUGGAUGUUGUUGCCUGUAUUGUUAUAUUUAAUCCUAAUUUUGACCAUGUAAAGAUAUCUUCAAUACUUAUCUGACACAUGAAGAAAAUAAAGAUCAACAAAGUUCAAUGAUGGAAGGUCAUUGCGGUGGAAGCGGUAAGGUGACUUCUGAAUCCCCUCCAGCAGAGGACUGCCGGGCUCGCCUCCUCGCCGCGUUGCCUGUGGCUCUCCUCACCCCAGGACCGCGCCCUCUGGCUGGCAGCCGCACCCCGAUCAGCUUCCCAGGGAGCCUCGCCAGGAGGAGUCUGGCAGCCAGUAGCUGGUGGAGCCCGGGGACCAGACGAGCGGCCCGCCUCAGCGCUCUGCUUGUGCUCCCCUGGACUGCACCCCCUCCGGUGAUGAACAGGCCUUUCUUUCCUCUGUAUCCCCGGGACUCAGCACAGGCGCUCAGCAAGUACCUGCCCGCCAUCCUUCGCUCUGUGGUCUGGCUCGGGUGCUUAGGCUCACUUGUUGACAGCUCUCGCCCCCGGAAUCCUCACAAUGAAGUCUGCUGCCUCGAGGGGCCAGGCAAACGAUCUUCUAAACUCAGGACGUCGGAUCAGGUCAGGAGUGGUCAAUUUAGUUGCUUCGAGCAAUACCCAAACCCUCUAAUGUUAGACUUUGUUUUCUUUAUCAAUGUUUUCAGAAACUCAAACAUUUCACAAUUCCAUUUCUCCUGCUUAAAUAACAAGGCUGAUCCAAGUCUUAUUGAUGGUAUUAACUAAAUAUCUUUAAAGGGUUGAGAACAGAAUGUUUUAAGAGAAGGGGAAGUCCCGAGCGCUGGCCCUGGGCCUGAGGGCGUGCGCUCACUCGCGUCCCGUUGUGCGCGUUGUAACCUGUAACCGGCGCUGGGGGACUUCAGGCGCCGCAGUCGUCAGAAGCCGCAGAGGCGGCUCCGUGCCCCAGAUCCUGCCCGCAGGCAUCUUCAGGAAAGAAGUGAGGGCGAAAGCAACUCACAUGCCUUUGAGCCUUCGUUGGAAAACCUGAUCUUGAACUUGUCGAUCUUGACCAAGAACUACAGAAGGGCUACCUUUUCCAGUAGGGACUCAGGGGAGUCAGUGUUUGAGCUAUUAUUGCCUCAGUCUUCUCAGCUAAAGUUUGCGUUCCUUCUCUGCAAAAAGCAUACAUGUUCAUUAAAAUAAAAACUGUCAGAAAAUAAUUAACAUUAGAAAUGCACCAAUCUGGCCCAGUUUCCCAGGAGCUUCUGAUAACAGUUUUAGGCUUAUGUAAUUUUGUUGUUUUGCACUGUCCGAAGUAAAAUAAUCUUGAUCUUGUUGUUCAGUUGCUAAGUCAUGUCUGACUCUCUGGGGACAAAAUAACCUUCCGGGAGAUAUGCUAGGAGGACUCCUGCACCUUUUUUCUCAGUCUGGACCUCUGCUGCCCUCUACAGCCAAGGAAAGACAGACAACGGUCUUUUCUUAGGUUCUACUUGUCUGGAACUUUUUUUUUUUUUUAAGGAUUUUAUGUCCUUGUCAUCUUGUGAGGAAGCACUUGUAUCAGCAGAAAUACAGGGAAGACGUUAAGGAUAUAGGUAUUGAACUAAGUGAAAGCGUUAGUCUGUCAGUUGUAGCCGUCUUUGCAGCCCCGUGGACUGUAGCCUGACAGGUUCCUCUGUCCAUGAGGUUUCCCAGGCAAGAACGCUGGAGUGGGUUGCCAUCCCUUCUCCAGGGGAUCUUCCUGACCCAGGGAUGGAACCCACAUCUCCUACAUUGCAGGAAGAUUCAUUCUUUACCAUCUGAGCCACCAAGGAAACUUGAUUUCAAAUUCUUCAUCCUAAUUAGCAAUUGUAUGACCUCAGAAAGUUGCUUCAUCUUUUUGAGCCACUUUCAGAUUUAUUAAUGACUAUAUAUAUUAAUUAAUUAAUAUCUAAUUCAAAGCCAUGUUUUACAAACUAGCAAAAUACUGAAUAAGACCUUUUGCGCUCAGUUGGCAUAGAAUUAGCACAUGGCAGAUGGUGACAAGUGAUACCUAAAUUGCCUCUGUUGCUUUGAGAAUUGGCAAGAGGAGAAAGAAAGUAAUUAUUAAGCAUUAAUUUUGUACCAGGUACUGUACCAGUUUUACAUAUAUAUUCCCAUUUAAUUCUCAUGAUAAUCCAGUCAAGGAUAUAGUCAAGGAUAUGUCAAGGAUAUAGUCUUCCUAUUAUAUCAAAAAGGUAUUUCAGCCUCAGAGAAGUUAAGAAACUUUCCUAAGGUCACAGAGCUGGACUGUGACCUACCUAAGAGCAGGAUCUGUGUCUUGCUUAAACUCACAAUAAUUAAGUAGUCUUUGGUGCAAGAAUAUAUGAAAAAAUGAAUAAUCUAGGGAAUGCAUAAGGUAAAUAUGAACCUUAUUUCCCAUGCAG
ensembl:lncRNA